AUAGAACUUAUGGCUUUUGUUCUGAGCUACUUCUCUGGCAGUUUUUCAGGGGUCAGCUCCGACCCUGGUUCUGCCUUCUACUGGUGGCCUGGGCUCUGAGGAAGAGAGGAGCACUUGCCUUCCUGGGACUCCUGGCCUCUUUGCCCUUGCUGUUCACCGGGGCUCAGGCUUGCCAUGGAUUCUCUCUGCUGCGGAGUGUCUGUGUCUCCUGGCUGCCGAAGGCUAGACACUGUGCCUCCCCCCUUGGACCUUUAUCCACAUUUGGCCCCUUCUGGAAUGCCCUUACCUGCCUGGCCAGUCACUGAUUACCCUUCAAACCCAGCACCCCACGAGCAGCCACUCCAUUGACACACAGAGAGACUGUGCACAAACCAAGCAGAGGCCCACCAGACCAACGAAACCCUGCUGGAACUUGAUCUUGGACUUCCAGCCUCCAGAACUGGUCUGCUCCUUGGCAAUUCCAAUGAGGACAAGUGCUCAACUUCAUUAGGAAGUUGACUUAAACCACAGUUUGAACCACAGUACAACUUAAACCACAGUAUUUAAACCACAGUACAACACCAUUUCAUGCUUACUGGGAUGGCCAAGAGGAAACUGCCAUAUACAGUUGAUGGAAAUGUGAAUUGACAGAACAUUUUGGAAAACUGUAUUUCAGUAUCAACAAAGCUGAAGAUAUGUUAUCUACCCUAUCAUCCAACGACUUCACUCCCAGGCAUACACUCAGCAGAAAUGCAUAUGUAUGUUCACCAAAAGACAGAUGCAAAAUGUUCAAAGUAGCACUGUUUCUUACAGCUCCAAACUGGAAACAGCUGAAAUUUAUCAACAGUAGAAUGAACAAAUG